rnacentral:rRNA from 1 species
UACGAAGGGGGCUAGCGUUGCUCGGAAUCACUGGGCGUAAAGGGUGCGUAGGCGGGUCUUUAAGUCAGGGGUGAAAUCCUGGAGCUCAACCUCGGAAUUGCCUUUGAUACUGGCUGUCUUGAGUUCGGGAGAGGUGAGUGGAAUGCCGAGUGUAGAGGUGAAAUUCGUAGAUAUUCGGCGGAACACCAGUGGCGAAGGCGACUCACUGGCCCGAUACUGACGCUGAGGCGCGAAAGCGUGGGGAGCAAACAGG